rnacentral:tRNA from 1 species
AAAAUUUUAGUUUAAAAAAAAUUUUUCAUUUACAUUGAGAGGAUUUAUAUUUAAUAUAAAAAUUUUA